rnacentral:rRNA from 1 species
AGCGAACGCUGGCGGCAGGCCUAACACAUGCAAGUCGAACGAACCUUUCGGGGUUAGUGGCGGACGGGUGAGUAACACGUGGGAACGUGCCUUUAGGUUCGGUAUAACUCAGGGAAACUUGUGCUAAUACCGAAUGUGCCCUUCGGGGGAAAGAUUAAUCGCUUUUAGAGCGGCCCGCGUCUGAUUAGCUAGUUGGUUGAGGUAAUGGCUCACCAAGGCGACGAUCAGUAGCUGGUCUGAGAGGAUGAUCAGCCACAUUGGGACUGAGACACGGCCCAAACUCCUACGGGAGGCAGCAGUGGGGAAUCUUGCGCAAUGGGCGAAAGCCUGACGCAGCCAUGCCGCGUGAAUGAUGAAGGUCUUAGGAUUGUAAAAUUCUUUCACCGGGGACGAUAAUGACGGUACCCGGAGAAGAAGCCCCGGCUAACUUCGUG